GAUGAACGCUGGCGGUAUGCUUAACACAUGCAAGUCGAACGGACUCUUCGGAGUUAGUGGCGGACGGGUGAGUAACGCGUGAGAAUCUGGCUUUGGGUUCGGGACAACCACUGGAAACGGUGGCUAAUACCGGAUGCGCCGAGAGGUAAAAGAGAAAUUGCCUGAAGAUGAGCUCGCGUCUGAUUAGCUAGUUGGUGAGGUAAAGGCUCACCAAGGCAGCGAUCAGUAGCUGGUCUGAUAGGAUGACCAGCCACACUGGGACUGAGACACGGCCCAGACUACUACGGGAGGCAGCAGUGGGGAAUUUUCCGAAAUGGGCGAAAGCCUGACGGAGAAAUACCGCGUGAGGGAAGAAGGGUCUUGGGUUGUAAACCUCUUUUCUUAGGGAAGAACAAAAUGACGGUACCGAAGGAAUCAGCAUCGGCUAACUCCGUG
rnacentral:rRNA from 1 species